rnacentral:rRNA from 1 species
UACGUAGGGGCCUAGCGUUGUCCGGAUUUAUUGGGCGUAAAGAGCUCGUAGGCGGUUCGGUAAGUCAGGUGUGAAAUCUCCACGCUCAACGUGGAGGCGCCACCUGAAACUGCCGUGACUAGAGUCCGGUAGGGGAGUGUGGAAUUCCCGGUGUAGCGGUGAAAUGCGCAGAUAUCGGGAAGAACACCCGUGGCUAAGGCGGCUCUCUAGUACGGUACUGACGCUGAGACGCGAAAGCGUGGGGAGCGAACAGG